CCUACGGGAGGCAGCAGUGGGGAAUAUUGCACAAUGGGGGAAACCCUGAUGCAGCGACGCCGCGUGAGUGAAGAAGUAUUUCGGUAUGUAAAGCUCUAUCAGCCGGGAAGAAAUAUCGACCUUUGGGUCGCCAGACGGUACCUGAUUAAGAAGCCCCGGCUAACUACGUGCCAGCAGCCGCGGUAAUACGUAGGGGGCAAGCGUUAUCCGGAUUUACUGGGGGUAAAGGGAGCGUAGCCGGCAGCGCAAGUCUCAAGUGAAAUGCCGGGGCUUAACCCCGGAACUGCGUUGGAAACUGUGCAGCUAGAGUGCAGGAGAGGUAAGUGGAAUUCCUAGUGUAGCGGUGAAAUGCGUAGAUAUUA
rnacentral:rRNA from 1 species